GGAGGAAAAGAAACCAACAGGGAUUGCCUUAGUAACGGCGAGUGAACAGGUAAGAGCUCAGAUUUGAAAGGCACUUGUGCCGUUGUAUUCUGAAGUUAGGAUUCUCGAAAACGACACCUAAGUUUUCUGGAAAGGAAUGCCACAGAGGGUGAUAGCCCCGUACGGUGUUGACUCGAUACAGAGUCCUAACAUGGAGUCGAGUUGUUUGGGAAUGCAGCUCAAAUGGGUGGUAUGCUCCAUCUAAGGCUAAAUAUUUGCGAGAGACCGAUAGCGAACAAGUACUGUGAAGGAAAGAUGAAAAGAACUUUGAAAAGAGAGUGAAAUAGUACGUGAAAUUGUUGAAAUGGAAGGGUAGGCCGCUAACCAUGUAGGACCGUGUUUGGGGGGAAGAUAAAUGCUGUAGAAUGUGGCUCCUCGGAGUGUUAUAGCUACAGUUCAUGUUCCCAUCCGAGCGCGAGGAUCUCAGGUUCUACUAAAUGGUGGUCUACCACCCGUCUUGAAACACG
rnacentral:rRNA from 1 species